rnacentral:misc_RNA from 1 species
GAUGAAGAACGUAGCGAAAUGCGAUAAGUAAUGCGAAUUGCAGAGUUCCAGUGAGUCAUCGAAUCUUUGAACGCACAUUGCGCCCUUUGGUAUUCCGAAGGGCAUGCCUGUUCGAGCGUCAUUAUCACCCCUCAAGCCCUCGGCUUGGUGUUGGACGGUUUGGUGGAGGCCCCCUCGGGGGCUCCUGCCCCUCCCAAAGACAAUGACGGCGGCCUCGUUGGACCCCCGGUACACUGAGUUCUUCACGGGACACGUAUCGGACACAUGGGUUUACGGGACACGGUCUGCCUCCCCUCAGGGAGAAUCUUUCUAAGGUUGACCUCGGAUCAGGUAGGGAUACCCGCUGAACUUAAGCAUAUCAAUAAGCGGAGGA